GUAUUAAUUGCGUGUGAUCGCAAAAGAAAAACAUUCUACACUGUAUCGAGUUUGUGUGAAAACGUGAGCCCCCGAAAGGGGACCCACGCGGUGGUGCACAUAGGGGUGAGAUGGAUGUUUGAGAACGCUCGGGCGUGCACGACGAAAAAGGUCAGCGACAACCUGAGCACCUCUGUGGUACGAUAAUGAUCCUUCCGCAGGUUCACCUACGGAAA
rnacentral:misc_RNA from 1 species